rnacentral:rRNA from 1 species
GGGGUAAUGGCCUACCAAGGCGACGACGGGUAGCCGACCUGAGAGGGUGACCGGCCACACUGGGACUGAGACACGGCCCAGACUCCUACGGGAGGCAGCAGUGGGGAAUAUUGCACAAUGGGCGAAAGCCUGAUGCAGCGACGCCGCGUGAGGGAUGACGGCCUUCGGGUUGUAAACCUCUUUCAGCAGGGACGAAGCGCAAGUGACGGUACCUGCAGAAGAAGCGCCGGCUAACUACGUGCCAGCAGCCGCGGUAAUACGUAGGGUGCGAGCGUUGUCCGGAAUUAUUGGGCGUAAAGAGCUCGUAGGCGGCUUGUCGCGUCGGUUGUGAAAGCCCGGGGCUUAACCCCGGGUCUGCAGUCGAUACGGGCAGGCUAGAGUUCGGUAGGGGAGAUCGGAAUUCCUGGUGUAGCGGUGAAAUGCGCAGAUAUCAGGAGGAACACCGGUGGCGAAGGCGGAUCUCUGGGCCGAUACUGACGCUGAGGAGCGAAAGCGUGGGGAGCGAACAGGAUUAGAUACCCUGGUAGUCCACGCCGUAAACGGUGGGCACU